UACAGAGGGUGCGAGCGUUAAUCGGAAUUACUGGGCGUAAAGCGUGCGUAGACGGCUAUCUAAGUCGGGUGUGAAAGCCCCGAGCUCAACCUGGGAAUUGCAUUCGAGUCUGAAUAGCUAGGGUGCGGUAGAGGGAAGCGGAAUUUCCGGUGUAGCGGUGAAAUGCGUAGAUAUCGGAAGGAACAUCAGUGGCGAAAGCGGCUUCCUGGACCAGCACCGACGUCAGGCACGAAAGCGUGGGGAGCAAACAGG
rnacentral:rRNA from 1 species